rnacentral:misc_RNA from 1 species
AUUCUCUUUUAUCCUCUUCAGUCUCAUCAUAAACAUCUGUGGUCCCAGCAUUUUUCUCUUUCUUUUCAACUAAACUGAUAUCACCAUCUGUCUUUCCCCUUGUUAGAGAAUGAGCUUCUUCAUCAACAGAUUCCUCUCCCACUUCUUCUGAGUAGGCAUACCGUUGCGAGCUUUGAGAAGGAGCCCAGAGGUAGCAAAUAACACAAAGCAAGGCGAAUGCAAAAAUGUCCCAGAAAGCAGUAAUGAUCCAUGCGCUUAACCAGCGCUCAUUAAAUGGAUCGGUUGCUUUGAAGUAAACCUCAUAAGCUAUCCAAGCAACAGAAUCUAUCACUGCCACAGCUAGCGCAUUUGAGAACUUCCUAUAGAUAUCCAACUUGACAGAGCUUCUUUUUGCCUGUAGCUGCUCCAAUGUCCUUGAAAGCGAUGUAAAUAUCCACAGUAUCAAAAAUGCAUCCAGGAAUGCAUCAGGAAGGACUAGAAACAAUCUUGCUCUUCCUGAUACGUCAUUAAUAUUCCCCACAUAUUCAGUAAUAUCUAGCAACUCAGAUGCCAAAAAAUAUGUAAAUCCAAGAAGAAGCACCUUUGUGGUAAGACCACCGAGGGUGGGCCGCACAACACCAUAACCCAUUGAAAUUGAGAGCAUAAGAAGACGAGCUAAUGUUUUCCUUAUAGCUCCAACUGUCACAACCCAAGUUGUAAUUGCAACUGGCCUAGUUCCUGUGCUGUUAAAAUUUGCAUACUCAGAAUACCAAAGAAUCAUCUCAAACAAUCCUAGGGCAAUAACAGCUGUGAUGCAAUGCUGAAGUUGCAAUAUGUCCUUCCAAAACCUCAUGUACUGGAAAAACCAAAUAACACUAAGCAAAAGAUAUGCAAGAGACAUGAGCACGUAAAACCUC